CCUGUUCACCGGUUCAGCGAAACCGUGUACCGGCCCGCACCCAACCCAGAUGGACCCGCCGUUCCGGUCCCUAGCGUGGGUUGAAGCCGGACCGGUAUGGACCCACAUGAAGGAGGAGGUGGUCCACUGGUUUGCGGGUUCGACCCGUGAAAACCACGGAGGCCGCGGAAGCCAAACCCUACGCAUCGAGGCUGCAGCGACGGGCGGCGACCGGCGGCCGGCGACCGUGACGAAGAUGCCGCGCGACGGCCUCGCUCGAGGCCUCGAGGUGGAGGCUGCACUCGCGGCUGAGGCAGCGUGGGAACUAAAGGAGGUUGUUGCAUCCAUGGAUGGGUCUCUGAAUAUGGAUGCGGACUCGACGCUGGAUCUCUCCAUCGAGCUCGGCGGUGAUGGAUCGAUCUCCGCUGACAAGUCACAUGGGGUGAAGAAAGAGACGCAAGCUCAGUUUAUCGAUUUUGCUCCUCUUGUUUCCCGAUGGAAAUAUCAGCAUUGCGGUAUCCCCUAAAGGAGAACCUUGAAGCCACAGAGAUUAAGGAAUGAUGACACAAUUUUUAGGCUGAAAUUGAAGAGCACGUGGGGACCAUCAACCCAAGCAAGCAGAGCUGAAGGACAACACAAGAAUGUGCUUAGCCACUAGUCUUAUCUGCAUCUUUAAUAGCUUCUGAAAUCUCAACUUGUAACUGAUUACAUAUAGUGUUAUGGACUUAUGGUCGAACCUUUUCGGUUAACAUUGGUUCAGUUUUAGUCUAUCAAGACAAUUCUAAAUCAGUAUUUAUGUUGUAGGGCACUGUCAUUUUCUUUCAUGUUGAUAAUUCAAUUAUUCAUUAUUCA